GACAGAGGGUGCAAACGUUGCUCGGAAUCACUGGGCGUAAAGGGCGUGUAGGCGGGAAGGAAAGUCAGAUGUGAAAUCCCUGGGCUCAACCCAGGAACUGCAUUUGAAACUCCCUUUCUUGAGUACCGGAGAGGAAGGUGGAAUACCUGGUGUAGAGGUGAAAUUCGUAGAUAUUCGCAAGAACACCAGUGGCGAAGGCGGCUCACUGGCCCGAUACUGACGCUGAGGUGCGAAAGCGUGGGGAGCAAACAGGG
rnacentral:rRNA from 1 species